GACGAACGCUGGCGGCGUGCUUAACACAUGCAAGUCGAACGCUGAAGCCCAGCUUGCUGGGUGGAUGAGUGGCGAACGGGUGAGUAACACGCGAGUAACCUGCCCCCUUCUUUGGGAUAACGCCCGGAAACGGGUGCUAAUACUGGAUAUUCACUGGCCUUCGCAUGGGGGUUGGUGGAAAGGUUUUUUCUGGUGGGGGAUGUGCUCCCGGCCUGUUUGCAUGGAUUGUGGUGUGAUGACUGAUGGGUGGCAGUGCCGUGUAUAGUGAUUUUGUUGGUUGUUUCCGUUCUGUGGUGACUUUUUGCUCGGCUGAAACUUAAUGGUCAUGGACCUUUGUAGUGUUUUGAUCAAAAAUUUUGUGAUGGAUCAACUGUGUAGUGUUUGGUGUUGAGUUUUUCUGUGUUUGAUUUGCCCCCCCCCCCUCUGAAUGCCUGGGUUGGUGUUGGUGGGGGUGGUUGUGUGCGUGUGUGCGUGUGUGAUGUGUUGUGCCGUGUGAGUGGUUGUGGUGAUGUGACUGAUGUUCUGCUCGCUGUUGCUGUGUGUGCGUGCCCCCCCCCCCCCUUGUGCGGUGAUGUGCAUGGAGUCUGUUGCUGUUGGUUGUGUGAGUUGUGUGUGUGUGUGUGCGUGUGGCCUGCUGUUCUUAGCUACUGUUGUGUGUUACUGUAUGUGUGUUGCAUGAUUGAUGUCUGUGCUGUGGAUGCGCUCGCUGAUGUACUGUGUUGUUGUGAGUGCGUGAGUUGUUUUUGUACGUGUGCUGAUGUG
rnacentral:rRNA from 1 species